rnacentral:rRNA from 1 species
GACGAACGCUGGCGGCGUGCUUAACACAUGCAAGUCGAACGGAAAGGCCCUGCUUUUUUGGUGUGCUCGAGUGGCGAACGGGUGAGUAACACGUGAGUAACCUGCCCUUGACUUUGGGAUAACUUCAGGAAACUGGGGCUAAUACCGGAUAGGAGCUCCUGCUGCAUGGUGGGGGUUGGAAAGUUUCGGCGGUUGGGGAUGGACUCGCGGCUUAUCAGCUUGUUGGUGGGGUAGUGGCUUACCAAGGCUUUGACGGGUAGCCGGCCUGAGAGGGUGACCGGCCACAUUGGGACUGAGAUACGGCCCAGACUCCUACGGGAGGCAGCAGUGGGGAAUAUUGCACAAUGGGCGGAGGCCUGAUGCAGCAACGCCGCGUGCGGGAUGACGGCCUUCGGGUUGUAAACCGCUUUCGCCUGUGACGAAGCGUGAGUGACGGUAAUGGGUAAAGAAGCACCGGCUAACUACGUG